rnacentral:rRNA from 1 species
UUAGAGUUUNGNCCUGGCUCAGGAUGAACGCUGGCGGCGUGCCUAAUACAUGCAAGUCGAGCGAAUGGAUUAAGAGCUUGCUCUUAUGAAGUUAGCGGCGGACGGGUGAGUAACACGUGGGUAACCUGCCCAUAAGACUGGGAUAACUCCGGGAAACCGGGGCUAAUACCGGAUAACAUUUUGAACCGCAUGGUUCGAAAUUGAAAGGCGGCUUCGGCUGUCACUUAUGGAUGGACCCGCGUCGCAUUAGCUAGUUGGUGAGGUAACGGCUCACCAAGGCAACGAUGCGUAGCCGACCUGAGAGGGUGAUCGGCCACACUGGGACUGAGACACGGCCCAGACUCCUACGGGAGGCAGCAGUAGGGAAUCUUCCGCAAUGGACGAAAGUCUGACGGAGCAACGCCGCGUGAGUGAUGAAGGCUUUCGGGUCGUAAAACUCUGUUGUUAGGGAAGAACAAGUGCUAGUNGAAUAAGCNGGCACCUGACGGUACC